CCCCAGAGUAAGGCAUGCACGUGAUCUGAACUGAUCUGAGCAUCUGAGCUGUGUCAGAUACACCAUGCGUGCUCAGCUGUGACUCCUUCACUGGGCAUCAUCUCAGAAUGAAGUGUCCUCGAUGCAAUCAUGUGUCUUCAGAAAAGGCAAAAUUCUGCUGCGAGUGUGGAUUCAACCUGUCAUCUCUCUCAACUGAGACAGCACCAGGCAAGUCACAAGAGUCUCAAUCAUCCUCAAACAUCCCACAUGGCACUGAUGAAGAACACAAUCCAACACAAUCAAAUGAAGAUAUCAACAACUCUAACCCAACGAAAGAGGUGCUGGACAUGGACAUCAAUUCUAACAAAUAGCUCUGGAUUAAGUUUUUAAAAUGUUUCUUAUUCUGAGAUUCUGCUGUUGGUGAUUUUAUGAUUUUUAUUCACCCUGUGU